GACUUUCUUUAUUCUCAGAAUUGUUUUAAAAAAGAACCAGAUGAAUUAAGCUUUAUUAUGCUCUUAUUUCAUUCAGCUAAACUUCACCUCAGAUACUGCUGAUAUUUACUGAUACAACUGGCUCUGGGUCGAACUUGAAGCUGCAGCAGAAGAAGAUAUGGAAAAACUAAAAUCUUCCUCAAGCAAAUAUUAGAGUAAUUGUCAUUAUCUCACCAUGCUCUUUUACUGGUUAUAAAUAUGCUAGAAAACAUUCUUACUGCAAUUUUAAUAAAGUAUUUCUCUAUG